AUUGAACGCUGGCGGCAGGCCUAACACAUGCAAGUCGAGCGGAGCGGCGGACGGGUGAGUAAUGACUAGGAAUCUGCCUGGUAGUGGGGGAUAACGUCCGGAAACGGGCGCUAAUACCGCAUACUAUCAGAUGAGCCUAGGUCGGCUUAACUAGUUGGAGGGGUAAAGGCCUACAAAGGCGACGAACCGUAACUGGUCUGAGAGGAGGAUCAGUCAACCUGGAAAGGAGACACGGUACAGAUGCCUACGGGAGGCAGCAGUGGGGAAGAUUGGACAAUGGGCGAAAGCCUGAUCCAGCCAUGCGGCGUGUGUGAAGAAGGUCGUCGGAUUGUAAAGCACUUUAAGUUGGGAGGCGUUACCAACAGAAUAAGCACCGGCUAACGUCGUGCCAGCAGCCGCGGUAAUAC
rnacentral:rRNA from 1 species